AGACCUGGCGAAAUACCUGGCGGCGUUUUGUCGUGUAACCGCCAACUUUAUCGGUAGCACGAAGGCACAAAGAUCUGGGUUGAAGAAGAGGCGAAAGCUAAUUUUAAAAAAGCACCUCCCUGCCCCCGGGUAUUAAACUGUACCAUUUGCCUUUCACACACUGCAACUUCAACCGUUGAUUCACUGUUUGGAGUAUUGAGCUCUUUAUGUGAGAAACCAAAGGUGGGUGUCUUCCUUCCACCACCUCUUUUGUUCCCGUCUUGUGCGCUGUACUGAAAUCCUGUAUUUGCUUUGACUUUAAUUCCCUGGUUUUCUAGUGCCGCGGGUGCGCAUGAGUGCAUUUUAAAUCAAACAGCUUAGAAUUUAUACGACAAAUGUCAAUUACAGGUCGACAGUUUUCUCUUUCACAGUGCCCGUGUCUCGCUAGUAAUUAGCCACCGUUGCUUUGAGAAUUCGAAUCAAUGAUUACUGAUCCAGUAAUUCCCUUAAGUAAACAUUUCUUUCGGCAAUAAAGACAAUUUCCAGUUACUCUCAUGGUUCUUUAUCCUGGAUUCCUAGCUGAUUAGCCUUGUGUUUAAUGCUGGCAUAGAAGCCAUGUUGACUCAUAAUUAAAAAUCACUGUUGUGUAACAUUUUGCCCACCUGCUUUUUCCUCUUCUCUGUUCAGCCCUUCCCUGUGUAGAGGAAGUUGUACUUCUUUGAAAGGAAAAGUAAACAUUUUUAUUACUGUUGUUAUUCUCUGUAAA
ensembl:lncRNA novel transcript, antisense to RUFY3